GAUAUUCAAGCCAUUGCCAUUGUAUUUUCCAUUUUUUUCUUUUUGCAAUUACCUCUUUAAGGAAUUGCUUCCUAUUGUAAAUUACCCAUUUAUGGGUUCUUCAUCAAUACAAAGGUGUUUUCAUUCAGAUAUGCUCAAUAUUUUUUUACUUUUUUUGCUUGUUUGCAAGGAUGAAUUUAUUUGUUAGUAAAUAAUGUUUUGAA
rnacentral:lncRNA from 1 species